rnacentral:lncRNA from 1 species
AGCACUGUGUUUCUACUGAGCUAAGGAGGCUGAGAUCAGAGUUCUGAAACAGCUAGUUCUGCAAAGCAGCGCAUCAGAGUAAAGGUCGCUACUUCAGGCAGAGUGGAACCGAAAUAGAAGUCUGCAUGGCCAAGGGCUGGACUGUACAUGUGCUGCGUGAGAAUUCACAAAGCCCUUCGGAGGACAGGUGCAUCAGCUGACCAUUUUGUUCAACCUCUCUGGGCCUCAUUUGGAAAACAAGACAAUUCAAAUAAAAAGAUCUUUGCAAGUUACGUUCACAUAUCCUGGAAGACCACAGCUGUACGGACUUCAGCGGAGAUGUUCUACACUGAUUUUCCAGAUUCCAUAACUAGAUUAUUAAAUCCUUAAAGACAAAGCAAGCAUCUGACUCAUCUCUUGUAGCUUCGUAACACACAGGAGGUGUUUAAUCCAAGCCACCAGAAUGCAGUCUCCUAAAACAUUCUGAGGUCCAGCCUAGAGACAAAAGCUACUCAGCCGCAAAAUAUAAACAAGAAUUUACUCUGAGAUGAGCCCCUGGAAAAUGGAGCGGGCACAGGAGACUGGUGCUUGGGAAUCCAAAAAUUACUCAAAGGACAAGCCCUACUUGAGAAAAGAAAGUGUCAGCCUCCCAUCAAUC